GAUGAAGAACGUAGCGAAAUGCGAUAAGUAGUGUGAAUUGCAGAAUUCAGUGAAUCAUCGAAUCUUUGAACGCACAUUGCGCCCUUUGGUAUUCCUUAGGGCAUGCCUGUUCGAGCGUCAUUUAAACCUUCAAGCUAAGCUUGGUGUUGGGUGACUGUCCGCUUCACGGCGGACUCGCCUCAAAAUUAUUGGCGGCCGGUACAUUGGCUUCGAGCGCAGCAGAAACGCGAACUCGGGCCCGUCGUAUUGGCUCCCAGAAGCUAUUUUCACAAUUUUGACCUCGGAUCAGGUAGGGAUACCCGCUGAACUUAAGCAUAUCAAUAAGCGGAGGA
rnacentral:misc_RNA from 1 species